GCCUACGGGGGGCAGCAGUGGGGAAUAUUGCACAAUGGGGGAAACCCUGAUGCAGCGACGCCGCGUGAGUGAAGAAGUAUUUCGGUACGUAAAGCUCUAUCAGCAGGGAAGAAAAAAAGUCCUUUGGGCUUUGGACGGUACCUGACCAAGAAGCCCCGGCUAACUACGUGCCAGCAGCCGCGGUAAUACGUAUGGGGCAAGCGUUAUCCGGAUUUACUGGGUGUAAAGGGAGCGUAGGCGGCCUGGCAAGCCUGAUGUGAAAUACCGGGGCCCAACCCCGGGGCUACAUUGGGAACUGCCAGGCU
rnacentral:rRNA from 1 species